ensembl:lncRNA
UCUCCCCUCGCCCCACCCCCACAUACCCUGGGCGCCCCCUCUGGAUGGGGAGCCCCUGCUGCUCAGGCCAACUUCCUGCCCGGCCCACGGUGGGAGGGCGCUCCCCUUCUGUUCUCCACGUUUAGGGUGUCUUCGCACCGACUCCCGCGGCCCGGGCCCACCUCACGAGGGGCCUUGCACCCACGCUCGGCGGGCAGGAGUCAGCCCCGAGAGACCAGGCGGGCCUUAGCGAGGGCGCAGCGCGGACGGGCUGUGGUUCCUCCUGCAGGCUGUGCUGACCCUCCAGCGCAGUGCAGAGCCCUGGCCGCGCUGCGCCCCUUAGGACUGGGGACGGGACUGAUUCCUGGUCGUGCAUCAAAACACACUGCUAGGCCUGAGAAGCCGGGAAAGAAAUGAGAGGCCCCGGGAAAGAAAAGGAAGAAAUUUUCCGACAGGAGAGCUGUGUCAGGAAUGUCCGCGCCGCCUGUCCAGGCCGGCUGCGUUUGCUCUGCUUGGGUGAUCUGCGAACCGGGGGGACACUUCUUUCAGGGAUCCUCGAGUGAAAAUAUGUGCGGCUUGGAAAACCAGGCCCUGCAGGGCCCCCGCUGGAAACGUGAAUCCGAGAAUGUCACAUCACGCCCCUGCUUCAAGCCCUCAGGUUGGACCCUCGAUGAUGUGUCUGUGGCUCACCAGGACCUAUGCCGUCUGGUCCCCGUCCCCGUCCGGUCCCCUCAGGGUUGCUUCUUGCAUCCAGGUCUCUGUGCUUUCUGUUUGGAACAUUCUACCCCCACGCCUCUGCAUGGCUGACUUCCGCUCAGGGGAGAGGCCGUGCAGACCCCUGCCCCCCACGGGCCUGCUCACGCACCUCCCGCUCAGCCAGGACACCUCGCUCCUGUCACUCUGAUUCUUGGCUUGUCUGAGGUGUGUGUGCAGUGGGACAGGGGCAGCCCACUGUGCCCCUGCUGUCUCCCAGUGCCAGGGACAGUGCGUGCCCCGCCCAGCACUGAGCAGACGAACAAGAAAGGUGGGGAUAAGGCGGGUCUCCUGAAAGUUAACCUUGGAAGAGUGAAGAGGGCCCCUCGAUGCUGCACUCACCUGAACCCUUGCCUACACAUGGAAGAGGCUUUUCUUGUCUCUUCUGGAAAACUCCAGGACAGAAGCACAAGAACUGGGGCCAGAGGAGGCAGCUUGAGCAGAGCAAGCUGAUGACAGGAGGUUCCAGAAGGCAGGGGCUGGGGGGGGGGGGUUGGAAAUCUGAGCAGACCAAGAGCGGCGAUAAAACACAACAGAGACCAGGGACACGGAAAGCAGGUGAACGCAGGCUUUAGGUGUCAAAUCAGCGCCCAGGCUGUGACACUGCGCUGGGAUGACACCCCGUGGCUUCAGCGCCCCGCCGCCCCCACGCCUGGCGUCCCCGGGGCCACGGCUGCCACCUGCUGAGUGGCUGGCCGGAUCCUUUCAGGUUACAGUCACCCGGGUUUUGUUAUCCAGCUUUGGGGGAUUAGUGCCCAUCAACUCCCCCCAGGGCACAGGACGCAGGCCCCGGGGCUGCUGGGAGGUAGCUGGACUCCUUGGGCAGUGGCAGGAGAUCCCAGACUCGUCCACUCUGCUCAGGUACAGCUGUGGAAUGGGCAGCGAAAGCCUGAGUGUGGCGCUGUGCUGAGUGUGGGGGCCAGAGACGCGCGUCCUUCAAGAAGCAAGCCCUCGUGUUGCCUUCCGAGCAGGGCCUCUGUCUCCUUCCCCUUUCCGGGUCUGUGGUUGAAAGAAGCUUUGCCCGGAACAAGCCUCAGAGGCAGAUGGGGGAAGC